rnacentral:piRNA from 1 species
UCCAAAUAUUUUCAAUAGAAG